rnacentral:lncRNA from 1 species
GUAAAUGGUCUCUGUCCUUUCUACCAACAUUGGCCCUGAUGGAGACAAAGCCUUGCUAGUGACUAGCCUUUCCAGCCUGUUGAUGUAACUCUCAGCCGUUUGCAGAGAUUGCAAGUUGUCAUGUGCCUAAUUUGGUUGACUUUUCUUCCCAGGUUUGGCCAAACAAAUACAAAUCUUCUAUAUCUAUUAUCUAGUAAUUAAUACUUCUUUUGGACUACGCUAUUGGGCCUAAGAUUUAUUCUUAUUGAGUUACAUAAAUAUGGGCUGCAAAAAUGUAUUUUUCCUUGGCCACCAA